GCGAGGGUUCACGCCCCCGCCUAUUUGCUGUCGUCCCUUCGGGACU
rnacentral:sRNA from 1 species